CAGGACUGUGAUCCAGCGGACUGAAAAACAACAUGCCGUACUCCAAAGAGAAGAAGGAAACCCAACUACUAGCGUGCCUUCCCCUUUCAUGAAAAAAUCCACAAGAUGCUGGAAGCAAAGCAGCCAUCCUGGGACCCCAAGGGUGACAAGAACAUGCUAAAGAUGAUUGGGUGGAAAGAGACAAGGAAGCCAUUUCUCCACUGGCAUCAUGGAGCCACUGUACCCAUCCUGGAUUUCUGACGUCUGGACUUUUAUUGGAUUGCAUUCUUACCCAAAUACUCCUUCGUGAUUGCCUGUUUUGCGGCUUUGGGAUUCUUCAGGGAGUAGAGAACAUUCACAUGGAUGACAUCCCAGUUUUCUCAUCAUGUUUUGUCCAGCUUUUCAUUCACUGACAACGAACUCAAAAAUCUAAAAUUGGAUAUUUUGAGGUUAUUCUUUUGGCAAAUAGAGAACUCAUAUUCCUCAAAAGGACCUUCUUUUCUUGGGUUGAGAUAUUAGUGACAACUCCAUGUAGGAAAACGCAUUUACCACCUGAGGAAAUUAUUCUUGGUUUACUUUUAGCAUUACAAAGAAAUGAGGACCACAGACUUCUACCUUCAAAUUGGAAAUAGCAAUCUUAUCAAACAGAUACCGACAGCAGAGCAUCUGUAAAGUUUCUGGAUGCUGCUUCACGUUGGCUGGCUUCCUUCUAAAUCAUCUUGGUCUUUGGACAUAAUCAAGAGCACAGGUGAUGGAGUGUCCCAUUUGGCUAUUAUUUUUCAAAAAGGGGAAUAAACGGAAAAUUCUCUGUGUGAGGAUCGUCACUGCCAUGACUGUGCAUCAGGAAACUGAAUGCAGUUGUUCAUUCCUGGCAGAUCUGAAGGCAGAAGCCAGUUUCCCGUUCUGUGUCCUCUCCACUCGCCAUAUCGUCAUGGCAAGGGCCUGCAGUGGAGAGAGGUCCAGGCAUAGCGGCAGCCGACAUCUCGGCCUUCCACCCGUGACUGCAGGUUCUAUCACGUGGACCAGUCACUUCGAUUCCCAAGCCUCAGCUGUCUUGGCACCAUUACGCCAGCUGAAACACCAUGGCUGCAUCAAAGCAGGGACGUGGUCCAGGUGGCCUUGUGAUGUCCCACCCAACUCAAUUCUAUGACUCCCUUUACUUGUUUUACUGUGAGAACAUUGUAACUUCUCCUCCCAAGCGUAAUGCCUUUAAAAUCUAGCCCUCAAAUAAAGAAAAGUCUGCCACAGACUUUCUUCUGGAUUUCUUUGCCUUCAGCUGUGGCACUGAAAAGCUUCUUGAAGAGAAACUUUUCUCUCCUCCCAUACAAGGCUAUAGUAAUCUUCCUAAAUGCCAUUUGGAUCACUUUACUUCCGUGUGUAAAAUCCUUCAAUUGCUCUUCUUUGUGUGGGGGGUGAUAGAGCAGUAUGUGCAUGGCAUUCCUACCCUUCAUGUGGGCCCCUGGGGUCCACUGCUCCACGGGUACCCUGGGCUCUGGCCCUAACAAGCUGGACAAUUCCCCUCCUUUGCCAUCUCCUCUCUCCUCCAUGCCCUGCUUUUGGAUGGAUUCUUUCCUCUGAAGUUAACGUGCUUCUUCGCUUUCUCUGCUUGGCUAAAUCCUUCUCCUCCUAUACAUUAAACUCAGGCACCUUGUCCUCUGGGAAGUCUUCCUGAACCUCAGAGGGGGACAAGAUGGCCCUCGUCUGUGCCAUCUGACCCUCCUUGCUUCCCCUUGCAGGGAAGGCCAUUCUGCGUUGUACCUGCUUUUUGGUGUCCCUAUUGCCCACUGGUCUGGAAGCUUCUGAAGACAGGGACUGGAUCUUGCAUUUUGGCAACUCCUGCACCCAGCCCAGAGUCUGGUUACGGUAACAGGGUCAGUAAACGUUUGAAGCCUCAAUUUGACAAGAUCUUCCUCGUGAUAACUAGGGACACUAUAAACCUGGAGGAGAUUAUAAUUAGGUAUGUAUAGCUGGUGGAAAACUGUUCCCAAAGAAUUUAGAGAGGACAGACCUAAAUCAGACAAUAAAUGUGUGAUGACUUAUAAGAAUUAGAAAGGGUGGGAGGUAAGAUGCAGAGAUUACUGAACGUGGGAAGGAUUCCUUCAACAGGUAACACACCCAAAUGAUUCAGCUUUGAAACUGAUGAGGUGUAAAAUUCUGCUUUUUGGUCUAACAGGUCAUUAAACUAAUACAAAUUGUGGGAGGAGAACUUGUCUGGAAGUGACCCCAAAUGAACCAAGACUGUGAUAGGAACUGCCCACAAUUUUAUUAUUAUUAUUUUUAAAAUAAAUUUAUUUAUUUAAUUUAUUUUAUUUUUGGCUGCGUUCGGUCUUCGUUGCUGCGCAUGGGCUUUCUCUAGUUGCAGCGAGCGGGGGCUACUCUUUGUUGCGGUGCACAGGCUUCUCAUCGCGGUGGCUUCUCUUGUUGUGGAGCAUGGGCUCUAGGUGCGCAGGCUUCAGUAGUUGUGGCAUGCAGGCUCAGUAGUUGUGGCGCACGGGCUUAGUUGCUCUGUGGCAUGUGAGAUCUUCCCGGACCAGGCUCGGACCCAUGGUCCCUGCAUUGGCAGGCUGAUUCUUAACCACUGCACCACCAGGGAAGCCCCUAUUAUUAUUAUUAUUAUCAUUGGCCACUGUGUAUUGAGCACCUACUAUCUAUGGGGCAUUUUCAUCAGAUGCUUUAAAUUCAUAACCUCAUUUAUUAAACCCCACAGCAUCUCUAUGAUGUAGGUAACAUUAGCCCAUUUUGUGAACAAGGAGACUGAGAUCAAAAGGGAGAUUGAGGUCACACAGCUUGGAAGAGACAGCACCGAUGGGGUGACCCCCAAAGGCCACGGAUUAAAGGAGGGGCAGUCUCACUUAAUCUGCACUAUCUCAUGAAGGGGGAAAGGUUGGUUCCAUUCUGAGAGCCCAUUUGAAAAUGGUCAUAGACCAAGUAGAGCACAUUCCCAGUGGGGAGGCUGAUGAGGAUUUAGAGGUGACAAUCACACCCUUGUCUUCUCAGAUUUCAGAUUCACCUGAGAAACACACAAAGAAGUCAGGUAGAUAGAAAUCCAAAUGUCAGCUUUUUCGGAAAGAACUUGAACUGUGGUUAAACAGACAUGUGAAUCCGGUCCCCCAACCCAAACACUAAGUGUAGCUGCCAGAACCACAGGCCUCUGCCUAGAAGGGGUUAAGCCUGCCGGGUAAGCUCAGCACAGGCAGGGAGAAGGUCAUACUCUGCAGGCAGGUGGGUCUGCUACCAACCCUGUGUGUACUCAGCCAGGAACGCUCAGCAACGUUUCCUAGAUUAAACAAUCAGGCUGCCAGCCAAUGUGACUCUAAUUCUUCUCAGAGAAACAUAAAACCAGGGAAUGAAGUCCUUGUCCCUAGCAGUGGCUCGAAUUCUAACUGACGUAUCAAUGAAACCAAAGGGUGAAAUGAUGUGAUGGUUAAUUUUAUGCAUCACCUUGGCUGGACAGUGGUGCCCAGUCAUUUGGUCAAAUACCAGUCUAGAUGUUGCUGUGAAGGUAUUUUUUAGAUGUGAUUAAAAUUUAAAUCAGCAGACUCUGAGUAAAGUCAAUUACCUCCAGAAUAUGGGUGGGCCUCAUCCAAUCAGUUGAAGGCCUUAAGAGCAAAGACUGAGGUCUCCUGAAGAAGAAAUUCACCUCAAAGCUGCAAUACCAACUCUUUCCUGAAUUUCCAGCCUGCCUUACAGACUGCAGCCUCUCUGGUUCCCACAACUGCAUGACCCAAUUCUUUCUCUCUCUUCCUCCCUCUCCCCCCCACCCCACCUCUCUCUCUCUCUCUCUCUCCCGCCCCACAGUGUGUGUGUGUGUGUGUGUGUGUGUGUGUGUGUGUGUGUGUGUGUGUGUGUGUGUGUGUGUAUUUUACUGGUUCUGUUUCUCUGGAGAACCCUGCUAAUACAGUGUUGAAUCUGCUGAAAGGUUAAAGUGAUGGCCAUGAAAGCCAUGUUCAAGUUUUUGAUGGGUUCCCAUAGGAUAAGGUAUUGGGUUUAUUCAACGUGUCCCAUCAGUGUGGAUUAUCUGAGAUGCCUGAGCAUCUGAAACGGUUUAAAUAGUGCCUGAUGGCCCUUGUCAGUGGUGCUAUAGAAAAGAUGCUCAUAUUAUGAAAAAGCUAAAUCAGAUGGCUGGCUGCUAGGGGUACUUCAAACUAUUUUGAGGGCAGUGACAUUACCUUAUGCUUCUGUUAAAUAAUUAUAAUGCAAAUUUCUCCCCAUUUUAACAUUUGUGAGGUUCUCUUAUGUCUGUUAAUUUACUAGUUUUCCCAUAGUGCCUAGCACAUAACUAGGCAAUUAUGGAAUUGAGUCGAGACGGUAAUAAUGGCAAAUUAAGAACCAACUUUCAACUUUAACCUGUAUUUCUCUAUUUUCUUCACCAUGCU